rnacentral:tRNA from 1 species
GGCGACGUGGCCGAGCGGUUAGGCGGGGGACUGCAAAUCCCCUUUACGGCGGUUCGAAUCCGCCCGUCGCCU